rnacentral:tRNA from 1 species
UUCAGGGGUGGAGCAGCCCGGUAGCUCGUCAGGCUCAUAACCUGAAGGCCGCAGGUUCAAAUCCUGCCCCCGCAACCA